UACGUAGGGGGCAAGCGUUGUCCGGAUUCAUUGGGCGUAAAGAGCGUGUAGGCGGCCAGGUAGGUCCGCUGUGAAAACUCGAGGCUCAACCUCGAGAUGUCGGCGGAAACCAUCUGGCUAGAGUCCGGAAGAGGAGAGUGGAAUUCCCGGUGUAGCGGUGAAAUGCGUAGAGAUCGGGAGGAACACCAGAGGCGAAAGCGGCAUCCUGGGCCAAGCCUGACGCUGAGGCGCGAAAGCGUGGGGAGCGAACCGG
rnacentral:rRNA from 1 species